rnacentral:tRNA from 1 species
GUUGUCGUGGCCUAGUGGUUAGGUCGAUCGAUUAGUAAUCAUUGGGAUCUUCCCGCGCAUGUUCGAAUCCUGCCGACAUCG